GAUGAACGCUGGCGGCGUGCUUAACACAUGCAAGUCGAACGGAGCGCUCUUGAAGGAGUUUUCGGACAACGGAUAGAGUUGCUUAGUGGCGGACGGGUGAGUAACGCGUGAGGAACCUGCCUUGGAGUGGGGAAUAACAGCUGGAAACAGCUGCUAAUACCGCAUGAUGCAGUUGGGUCGCAUGGCUCUGACCGCCAAAGAUUUAUCGCUCUGAGAUGGACUCGCGUCUGAUUAGCUGGUUGGCGGGGUAACGGCCCACCAAGGCGACGAUCAGUAGCCGGACUGAGAGGUUGGCCGGCCACAUUGGGACUGAGACACGGCCCAGACUCCUACGGGAGGCAGCAGUGGGGAAUGUUGGGCAAUGGGCGCAAGCCUGACCCAGCAACGCCGCGUGAAGGAAGAAGGCUUUCGGGUUGUAAACUUCUUUUCUCAGGGACGAAUAGAUGACGGUACCUGAGGAAUAAGCCACGGCUAACUACGUGCCAGCAGCCGCGGUAAUACGUAGGUGGCAAGCGUUAUC
rnacentral:rRNA from 1 species